UGAUCCUGGCUCAGGAUGAACGCUAGCGGCAGGCCUAAUACAUGCAAGUCGAACGAUACCAGAGAGCUUGCUUUCUGGGAAAGUGGCGCACGGGUGCGUAACGCGUAUGCAACCUACCUUAAUCAGGGGGAUAGCCUCUCGAAAGAGAGAUUAACACCGCAUAACAUCAUUUUACGGCAUCGUAGAAUGAUCAAAUAUUUAUAGGAUUAAGAUGGGCAUGCGUGACAUUAGCUAGUUGGUGAGGUAACGGCUCACCAAGGCUACGAUGUCUAGGGGAUCUGAGAGGAUGACCCCCCACACUGGUACUGAGACACGGACCAGACUCCUACGGGAGGCAGCAGUAAGGAAUAUUGGUCAAUGGAGGCAACUCUGAACCAGCCAUGCCGCGUGCAGGAAGACGGCCCUAUGGGUUGUAAACUGCUUUUAUACGGGAAUAAACCUCUCUACGUGUAGGGAGUUGAAUGUACUGUAAGAAUAAGGAUCGGCUAACUCCGUGCCAGCAGCCGCGGUAAUACGGAGGAUCCAAGCGUUAUCCGGAUUUAUUGGGUUUAAAGGGUGCGUAGGCGGCCUAUUAAGUCAGGGGUGAAAGACGGUGGCUCAACCAUCGCAGUGCCCUUGAUACUGAUGGGCUUGAUUACACUUGAGGUAGGCGGAAUGUGACAAGUAGCGGUGAAAUGCAUAGAUAUGUCACAGAACACCAAUUGCGAAGGCAGCUUACUAAGGUGUCAAUGACGCUGAGGCACGAAAGCGUGGGGAUCAAACAGGAUUAGAUACCCUGGUAGUCCACGCCCUAAACGAUGAAUACUCGAUGUUAGCGAUAUACAGUUAGCGUCAAAGCGAAAGCGUUAAGUAUUCCACCUGGGGAGUACGCCCGCAAGGGUGAAACUCAAAGGAAUUGACGGGGGCCCGCACAAGCGGAGGAGCAUGUGGUUUAAUUCGAUGAUACGCGAGGAACCUUACCCGGGCUUGAAAGUUACUGAAUAACUCAGAGAUGAGUUAGUCCGCAAGGACAGGAAACUAGGUGCUGCAUGGCUGUCGUCAGCUCGUGCCGUGAGGUGUUGGGUUAAGUCCC
rnacentral:rRNA from 1 species